rfam:Gossypium arboreum cultivar AKA8401 contig_64572_3, whole genome shotgun sequence.
AAUCCAUGGUAAGGGCACCUUCUCAACAGAUCCUUGUAUCUCUCCCAUGCAUCGGAGAGUGUUUCUAGAACCACUUACCCAAAAAGAAGAGAUGUCAUUCCUUAACUU